UUAUUGGAGAGUUUGAUCCUGGCUCAGGAUGAACGCUGGCGGCGUGCCUAAUACAUGCAAGUCGAGCGAAUGGAUUAAGAGCUUGCUCUUA
rnacentral:rRNA from 1 species